rnacentral:rRNA from 1 species
UACGGAGGGUGCAAGCGUUAUCCGGAUUCACUGGGUUUAAAGGGUGCGUAGGCGGACAGGUAAGUCAGUGGUGAAAUCUCCGAGCUUAACUCGGAAACUGCCGUUGAUACUAUCUGUCUUGAAUAUCAUGGAGGUAAGCAGAAUAUGUCAUGUAGCGGUGAAAUGCUUAGAUAUGACAUAGAAUACCGAUAGCGAAGGCAGCUUACUACAUGUUAAUUGACGCUGAGGCACGAAAGCGUGGGGAGCAAACGGG